GAAAAGAAAAAGUAGGUUUCUAGCCUUCAGUUUGCUAAUUGCUCUUUUCU
rnacentral:tRNA from 1 species